AAUGCACACUGUUAAAGCCGGGCGCUGAUGUGAGCGUUCUGGUGUCGGAAGUGUGCGAAAGUAAAGCGGAUCGGGGGUUUCGCUAACGCCAGGAGGACGGCCGUCCGAUGACUGGGGUAUGAAAACACCCCGGGCCACAGUU
ensembl:snoRNA SNORA62 Small nucleolar RNA SNORA62/SNORA6 family